AAAGCGUGGGGAGCGAACAGGAUUAGAUACCCUGGUAGUCCACGCCGUAAACGUUGGGCACUAGGUGUGGGGGCCGUUUUCCGGGUCUUCCGCGCCGUAGCUAACGCAUUAAGUGCCCCGCCGUGGGGAGUACGGCCGCAAGGCUAAAACUCAAAGGAAUUGACGGGGCCCGCACAAGCGGCGGAGCAUGCGGAUUAAUUCGAUGCAACGCGAAGAACCUUACCAAGGCUUGACAUGUGCCGGUCGGCUCCGGAGACGGGGUUUCCUCCUUGUGGGGCCGGUUCACAGGUGGUGCAUGGUUGUCGUCAGCUCGUGUCGUGAGAUGUUGGGUUAAGUCCCGCAACGAGCGCAACCCUCGUGUUUAGUUGCCAUCAUUAAGUUGGGCACUCUAAACNGACUGCCGGUGACAAACCGGGAGGAAGGUGGGGAUGACGUCAAGUCAGCAUGCCCCCUUACGUCCUGGGCUACACACGUACUACAAUGGUAGGGACAGAGGGCAGCCAACCCGCGAGGGCGAGCCUAAUCCCCGUAAACCCUGCCUCAGUUCAGAUUGCACGG
rnacentral:rRNA from 1 species